CAAGGCAGAGAUUGCAGGGCAAGCAUCAGGCUAGACACUGGGAGUUUAUCCUGAGAGCCUGGCCGCACGCUGACAGGGGAGCUGCUGGGGUCUUCUACUCCAGAUGCUGUGUUGGUAUGGAGAAAACAAGAUGAAUGAAAUUCAUGUCCUACUAUUGAUACCUCAAGGCUCCAGGGAUGUGAAGGCAGCAACAGGCAAACGGGUCUCCACGUCACAGUUCUGAUGGCAUCCUCCUAAUCUCAGCUGUGCCCAGCUGGAAACGAUUGAGUAUAAUGUCUGCUACAUUCUGUCUCCUAGCCACCAACCAUUGCCUUUGCUAUGCUCUGUCAACCCCUUCUUUUCCUGGAGUCAGUAUCCUUCUGUCUGGACAUGCUUCCUUCUCAUAUGUGCAGAGAUGGAUCCUAGAGUAGAUCUUAUUACCAUUCCUCCACAGAAGCUCAUUCACCACUCCUUCACCUCCAUAUUGGAUUGGAGGCUCACAAGCAUGGCACGGCAGGGCGCCGUGGUACAGCCCCACACACCUCAGUUUGCUUCUCCCAUCUGCUCUGCCACCUUCUGCACUGUGACCUUGGAGAAAGUGCCUAAAUGUUUCUGAACUUUCAGUUCCCUUCUAAGCAAUGGUGGGGCUUUGGAAUGGCAACAGAAAGGAGGAAAAGUUAUGAAGCGUUUGUACAAUUUAGACACCUAGCAAUUAACGCUCUUGAUGAAUGCUGGGAGAAAGUGCUUUGUUGAUGCGAGUGUUCUCUUCCAGGCGGGGAACCAUUUAAAGCUCUCAAAGAUGUUAUUUGCCUCAGGCACUGCAGAUCUGAAAGGCUAAGGUCAAACACAACUUACCUUCUCUUCUGCUUCCUGUUCACAGACCAAAGAUGACCUCGGGGGUCUUCUUGACCUUUGAAAACAGGCGAGGCACUUUAGGGUGGAUGGGAAAACCAGAGGAUAAAGACCCUAAAGAUGGCUUUCAUUGUAAGUCACUGGGCUCUGUCUUGUGGAUUUGUCAAACGCCAAGAAUGCCAUUGGACCCACUUCGCAGAAGAACCUGAAGACAGAGAGAAGGGCUAUGUGGCUCAUGGUACCCACCACUGAAAACUAGAACAGUCACAGUCAAACUCUCAGAAGUCUGAGCUAGAAGAUACGGUCCACAGACCUGCAUCCGACACCAGUGCAGACCAUCACAGUGCUAGCUCUGAGUGAAGGGUCAGAGAUGGACAGUGUUUUUCAAGAGAUACCACUGUCAUAGCUGCACGAUGGUUAAGAAAAUGUUCCUGCAGAGCUCUUCUUAAGGGCCCUCUUUAGCUGAUAAGAAUCUCUUGCAAUUAAUACUGUAGUUUACACACAAACAUGAGAUAUUGUCUGAUUCAUAAAAAUGUUUUUGUGGCAUUUAGUUGGUUAAACAUUUGCAACAUCCGUCAGAUUCCCAGUAUCUUUUACUUGGCUCUGGGGCACAUGCAGAGGGCACAGACAUCAGAUUCAGAGUGGGUCUACUUGGCCCAGUUUUUUAGUGGCUGCCCUAAUUGUGUAUAAUUAUGGUCUUUUUUGUGCACUGCACAACUAAACAUUAAGAAAUAAAAAAAAAUUCCAGAUAAAUUUGUGUAAAAUAGUCAAUUCAACCCCUAUUAGCCCAGAGUUUUGCUACGGCAAAUCUAUUUAUUUGCUUAAGAACAAAUAAAUGGAUGUAUUUAUGAAUUUCUCUGUUUUUGCUCUGAGGUGCCAGGAGGCAGAGGGAGGGGCUUUCUUCUGACCUUGGGGACCCUAGGGCCUGCCCUAAAUGUGACUUCCCAGAGGCCCCAAAGCAGAGUACAGUCUCUUCUGGCCUCUAAAGAGGAUGGCAGGCAGAGUUAGACAGGGUGGGCCCUACCAUCAGCCCCAAAGCUAAUUUGCUACUUAACAUGUACUAGAUACUGGCUGCUAUGCCGUCACCCUAAUUAGAAAAGAAUGCAUUCUUUUCUAACAUGCAGAUGGAAUUAUUAUCUCAGACUCCUCUGGCUUCCUUGUACAACUUCUCCUCCUGGUUCCUCGUUGCUGUGAGAAAGGUUAACCCAAGCGUGGCCCUGCUGCAGACUGGUUUCUAAGUACACGGCCCUUACAGCAACGAGUCUCAUUUCUUUUCUUUCUUCUGCAAAGAAUUUUUAGCAACAAUUCUCUAUGAUGGACAUACCAGGAAGGGGAAUGAGGCAAAGUGGUGCAUUUAAUGAGUCCUUUAUUUAUUUAUUCAUUCAUUUGUAUGUGUAUGGAUGUUUUGCCUGUCUGUAUGUCUAUGCAUCAUGUGCAUAUCUAGUGUUCUUGGAAACAAGAAGGCAUCAGAUCCCCUAGGACUUGAGUUGCAGACAGCUGUGGACCACCCUGUGGG